rnacentral:rRNA from 1 species
GAUGAACGCUAGCUACAGGCUUAACACAUGCAAGUCGAGGGGUAACGAGAGGAAAGCUUGCUUUCCUUGUCGACGACCGGCGCACGGGUGAGUAACGCGUAUCCAACCUGCCCCCAACUAAGGAAUAACCUUGCGAAAGUAAGACUAAUACCUUAUGAUUUCCUCAGAUGACAUCUGACGAGGAAUAAAGAUUUAUCGGUUGUGGAUGGGGAUGCGUCUGAUUAGCUUGUUGGCGGGGUAACGGCCCACCAAGGCAACGAUCAGUAGGGGUUCUGAGAGGAAGGUCCCCCACAUUGGAACUGAGACACGGUCCAAACUCCUACGGGAGGCAGCAGUGAGGAAUAUUGGUCAAUGGGCGGAAGCCUGAACCAGCCAAGUAGCGUGCAGGAUGACGGCCCUAUGGGUUGUAAACUGCUUUUAUACAGGAAUAAAGUUAGCCACGUGUGGUUAUUUGUAGGUACUGUAUGAAUAAGGACCGGCUAAUCCCGUGCCAGCCGCCGCCGUAA